rnacentral:rRNA from 1 species
GACGAACGCUGGCGGCGUGCUUAACACAUGCAAGUCGAACGGAAAGGCCCUGCUUUUGUGGGGUGCUCGAGUGGCGAACGGGUGAGCAACACGUGAGUAACCUGCCCUUGACUUUGGGAUAACUUCAGGAAACUGGGGCUAAUACCGGAUAGGAGCUCCUGCUGCAUGGUGGGGGUUGGAAAGUUUCGGCGGUUGGGGAUGGACUCGCGGCUUAUCAGCUUGUUGGUGGGGUAGUGGCUUACCAAGGCUUUGACGGGUAGCCGGCCUGAGAGGGUGACCGGCCACAUUGGGACUGAGAUACGGCCCAGACUCCUACGGGAGGCAGCAGUGGGGAAUAUUGCACAAUGGGCGGAAGCCUGAUGCAGCAACGCCGCGUGCGGGAUGACGGCCUUCGGGUUGUAAACCGCUUUCGCCUGUAACGAAGCGUGAGUGACGGUAAUGGGUAAAGAAGCACCGGCUAACUACGUG